rnacentral:lncRNA from 1 species
AUGCAGGCACAGGGGUGGGCACGGGGGCUGAGGGCAGGGCUGCGUCUGGUAGGUGCUGUGGGGGCCCCCAGGCAGCAUGGCACAGGUCCGGCCCCCGUUCUGGGGUGGGUGGCACCGCCGCUGCCGGCUCAUGGUACCCCCGCAGGGCUCCGAGCAGGAGGACCAGGGAGACCAGGAGGUCCACUCACCAUCCACUGUGAGGAGGAGAGGCCGGGCAGGCGGAGGGACUGUGAGGCUGGGCUGGCGCCCCCGCGUCCUCUCCCCUGCUCUCUGCAGGCACCACUGGCCCGCCCUGGGCUCCAGCCCCUCACCUGGGCAGGCGGCUGUGAAGCAGGCCUGGGUCUGGUGCUCGGGGCCUGGGCAGUGCUGCAGCACCGGGAGACUGGAUGGGGAGCAGCGGCGGCUCCGGCCCUGUACCCCCGGCCCACACGUCUGGCUGCAGGUGCCCCACAGGCCCCAGGGGCCCCAGGCUCCACAACCCUGUUCGUCAUGGGAGGGCCCUGCCCCUGCUGCCAGGUCACAGUUAGGGUGCCCGUCGCACACCUGCGGAGGGAACAGGGUCAGGGCUCCUUUCACUUUGGGUGGCACAACUGCUCUGCCUCCUGCACCACCCACUCCCCGCCCUCACCAGCUGGAAACCAAUGCAGAGGCCUUCGGGGCAGGAGUAUUCUGGGCAGGAAACCCCAGUCCUGUUGGGGCCUCCUGGAGCUAGUAGCCCCCCUGGAGAGAAGAGGAGAGAAAGCACAGUUGGCUGGGGAGUGACACCACCUCCUGGGCGCCCACCAGCCUGGCCUCCAGCAGGGGAAUCAGGGGUCCAUACCACAGCCCAGCUCGUCCUCGCCCUGGGGACAGUCGGGGAUCCCAUCGCAGAGCCGCUCUGGGUUCAGGCACAGUUGGGGAGCCAAACCACAGGGGAAGAGGCCACCGCAUGGGGGCAGCUGGGUGGAGCCUGCAGACACCAGAAAUGUCCUGCUGUGCUCCUGCCCUCCUGCCCCUCCCACCCUCUCCCUGCAGAGGAGGGCAGCCAGAGACCGCACUGGGCUCAGACACACUUGGGAGGGGUCCAGAAGUGGGAGGCAGGUGGGGUAGGGGGGCUGCGUGGGGGUAGGAGGCUGGCCAGGACAGGAAGGGCUGACUUGCAGGGGCACAAAGGGAACCCCCAGGUCUCGUGGGGAGGAGGUGGAGGGGGGCUAGCCCUCCCAACAGGCCGGGUCCCCAUGCCCGCAGAGCCACUCACUGCCCACCCUCUUAUCCCUUCUUGCUGAAAUGUGGGCAAAGACAAAAGCCCCUUUCUUCUCUGCUCUGGGUCUGGGCAGGAGGGCAAAAGCGUUCGAAGAGAAUUUCAUGAAAAAGCUCUAAGGAGCGCAAAACUCGCUCAGACUCUGACGCCCCCAGACUGUCACUCUCUGGCAGGCGCGCCGCCCCGAGCCGCGGGGGGCGCAGGUCCAUGGCGGGGAGAGGGGGGCGGGGCGCGGCGGGCUGCGCUCACCGCAGGCGUCGGGGCCCUCGUCCGAGCCGUCGGGGCACUGCGGCACGCCGUCGCACAGCUGCGCGGGGGCCACACAGCGCGGGCCGUUGGCGCAGGGCAAGUGGUGCGGCGCGCAGGGCCAGCCGCAGCCGCGCUCGUCGCUGCCGUCGGCACAGUCCUCCUCGCCGUCGCAGCGCCAGCCGCGCGGGGCGCACUCGCCGCUGCCGCACGGAAACUCGAAGGGGCCGCAGGGCGGCGCUGCGGCGGACACCGCGCUAGACCCGGCGGAGCUGG